rnacentral:rRNA from 1 species
UACGUAGGGGGCAAGCGUUGUCCGGAUUUAUUGGGCGUAAAGAGCGUGUAGGCGGCCAUACAGGUCAGCUGUGAAAACUCGAGGCUCAACCUCGAGACGUCGGUUGAAACCGUAUGGCUAGAGUCCGGAAGAGGAGAGUGGAAUUCCCGGUGUAGCGGUGAAAUGCGCAGAUAUCGGGAAGAACACCCGUGGCGAAGGCGGCUCUCUGGGACGGUACUGACGCGUGAGACGCGAAAGCGUGGGGAGCAAACAGG